UACGUAGGGGGCUAGCGUUGUCCGGAAUCAUUGGGCGUAAAGCGCGUGUAGGCGGUCCGGUAAGUCCGCUGUGAAAGUCGGGGGCUCAACCCUCGAAUGCCGGUGGAUACUGUCGGGCUAGAGUGCGGAAGAGGCGAGUGGAAUUCCUGGUGUAGCGGUGAAAUGCGCAGAUAUCAGGAGGAACACCGGUGGCGAAGGCGGGUCUCUGGGCCGAUAUUGACGCUGGAGGAGCGAAAGCGUGGGGAGCGAACAGG
rnacentral:rRNA from 1 species